CCACCUCCCCGUCGGUCUCUGGGCAGCCCACUACAGCUCAACACUUGGGACCAAGUGGCUUGUGGGAAGGUGGAGGACCAAGUGGCUUGUGGGAAGGUGGAGGACAAGGUCUUGGCUUUAGAGCAUAAAUACAUCACUUCUUACUCUGCUAGGACCUUGGUCAUGUAAUAUACACACAUACACACACACACACACACACACACACACACACACACAGACAGACAGACAGACAGACAGACAGACAGACAGACAGACAGACAGACAGACAGACAGACAGACAGACAGACAGACAGACAGACAGACAGACAGACAGACAGACAGACAGACAGACAGACAGACAGACAGACAGACAGACAGACAGACAGACAGACAGACAGACAGACAGACAGGAACAGACACUCGUUGGAUUCAAAGACCAAAUACUUUAAUUUGUUUAUUUCUAUUUCUAUUAUUUUGUAUUCAUGUUUUGUCACCAUAUUGUUUUGAACUUCUGAUCUGACGCCUGACUGAGCGUUCUACUCAAUACAUCGUCAAUGGUGAAGAUUGAAUCAAAAGUGUAUUACAGUCGGCUUGGAAGCACAAGGACAUUCAAAAGGAGGCAUUACAUUAGUAGGAAAACCUUUUGUCAUCAUUUUGAUGUCGCCAGAUUGACUUUAGAUGCAGUAUAACUAGUUAGCUAGCUAGCUAAGAUUGAUGGUAGGCCACCGGAUUUUAUCUAGCUAACGUUAGAAUUUACAAACUUUGCUAACUAAGUAAAUUUGAUGACAUGAUAAUGCUGACAAAGUUGUUUUUUCAUACUAAAUAUUUGACUACUUUUAGCAAUGUCAUCGUAUUUCCAGGCACUAUAGUGUCAUUUAGACGAAACAGUAAUUAGCCUCCGCCCAGAAAGACUGGGCAUAUCACCACUGUAGGGCACCACUAUAGCGCCGCCGAUAGAGGGCGGCUUGAGAACGUUCAUAACGACGCGACCGAGUGACGGAGGUGCAACCUAUGAAUGGUUUUGUUAUUAAUGUGGAUCCUGUGGGUAGUUUGUGGUA